GAAUUCGCCCUUAGAGUUUGAUCCUGGCUCAGGAUGAACGCUGGCGGCAGGCUUAAUACAUGAAAGUCGAACGGUAACGACCGGUAGCAAUACUGGGGCGACGAGUGGCGCACGGGUGCGUAACGCGUAUGCAACCUGCCCUCAACCGGGACAUAACGCCGAGAAAUUGGCGCUAAUAUCCCAUGUGUAUGUGAGGCGGCAUCGUCUUACAUAUAAAGAUUCAUUGGUUGAGGAUGGGCAUGCGUAACAUUAGCUGGUUGGCGGGGUAACGGCCCACCAAGGCGACGAUGUUUAGGGGUUCUGAGAGGAUUCACCUCCACACUGGAACUGAGACACGGUCCAGACUCCUACGGGAGGCAGCAGUGGGGAAUAUUGGGCAAUGGGCGAAAGCCUGACCCAGCAAUGCCGCGUGAGGGAUGAAGGUCUUCGGAUUGUAAACCUCUGUCCUUGGUGACGAAGGAAGUGACGGUAGCCAAGGAGGAAGCCCCGGCUAACUACGUGCCAGCAGCCGCGGUAAUACGUAGGGGGCGAGCGUUGUCCGGAAUUACUGGGCGUAAAGGGUGCGUAGGCGGCACUUUAAGUUGGAUGUGAAAUACCCGGGCUUAACUUGGGGGGUGCAUCCAAUACUGGAGAGCUAGAGUGCAGGAGAGGGAAGCGGAAUUCCUAGUGUAGCGGUGAAAUGCGUAGAUAUUAGGAGGAACACCAGUGGCGAAGGCGGCUUUCUGGACUGUAACUGACGCUGAGGCACGAAAGCGUGGGGAGCAAACAGGAUUAGAUACCCUGGUAGUCCACGCUGUAAACGAAGA
rnacentral:rRNA from 1 species